rnacentral:rRNA from 1 species
ACGAACGCUGGCGGCGUGCCUAAUCCCUGCAAGUAGAACGCACAGUUUAUACCGUAGCUUGCUACACCAUAGACUGUGAGUUGCGAACGGGUGAGUAACGCGUAGGUAACCUGCCUGGUAGCGGGGGAUAACUAUUGGAAACGAUAGCUAAUACCGCAUAAUAUUAAUUAUUGCAUGAUAAUUAAUUGAAAGGUGCAAUUGCACCACUACCAGAUGGACCUGCGUUGUAUUAGCUAGUAGGUGAGGUAACGGCUCACCUAGGCGACGAUACAUAGCCGACCUGAGAGGGUGAUCGGCCACACUGGGACUGAGACACGGCCCAGACUCCUACGGGAGGCAGCAGUAGGGAAUCUUCGGCAAUGGACGAAAGUCUGACCGAGCAACGCCGCGUGAGUGAAGAAGGGUUUCGGAUCGUAAAGCUCUGUUGUAAGAGAAGAACGGGUGUGAGAGUGGAAAGUUCACACUGUGACGGUAGCUUACCAGAAAGGGACGGCUAACUACGUG